CAUCUCCCUCGUACUGACAUUAGUGCAAGCGAGAUGCACUGCGUUUGAGUUGACGUAGUCGCUAGCGUUUAAGGCCGUGUAAAACUCAUGGUGAGGGUACUUGUGCUCAUUUUUUGGUACUGUCAUGUUUAAUGCGGACUCGAACAAGUAGAAAACUCAAGAAGUACUUGUUGGUCAAGCAAAUCUUGUCAGUAGAAAAAGGAGCAAAAAAAAUUUUUUUUUGGGACGAUAUCCCUUCGCGCCUACAUUUUUUAAAUUUACCGCCUUUUUCUACUGACAAGAUUUGCUUGACCGGCUAUAUAUACCUACAUGUAAAUGUAGGUUAUAGAUUUGUAACAUUUGAAAUAAUUGCAUUAUUAUUCAAUAACCAGAAUCAUACAUUGACAGAAUAGUAGAAGUCAUAGCUGUUGCAGUUUUCGCAGAAACUUUAUUGUGAUGUUUCAGUGAUUAUUUUAAUAUUAAAUUGUGAUCGAGAAUAGAUGUUUAAAUGUGUUGAAUAUUUUGACCUCAUAGUUUGUACGUACGUAAGGAUGUCAUAGUGUUGUGCGAGUGUGAUUAGAUUUAAAAAUAAAGUUAUUUAGGGUUGCCAUAUUGAUAAUUAUUUUUUAUACUAUGUAAAACGUUAUUUUUUUAUGUGAGCGUGUAGUUAAAAUGAUUUGUAAAAGGAACAGGACGUUCCAUUUAUUAUACAAAUAAUUGCAUAUUUUGUUGAUUGUAUGGCUAUAAUGUUUUAUACAUAUAAAAAUAGAAUAUUAGAUAUAUUUAUUGCGUCAUGUUAAAGUAUUCGUUAAGUUUCGAUGGCGGAUCUAAUGUAGAAAUAAGAUUGUCCAUUAUUACCAAUUAUAAAUGUUGUUCAGAUUUCCUAAUUUUAAAGUAGGAGUUAAACAUAUGACAAAAAUGUAUACGGUCUUAUUUAAAGAAGAUUUCAGUUAGAACUUCCAUCAAUUUGGUUCCAUAAAUGCUACCAGCUUACAAUGUAAGAUGUAUUGGGGUAAAUCCGAAAGGAAAAAACAUUAAAAAAGUUAUGCAUAAUUCCGAAAAGUGACACUUAAUACAACGGAGUAUGAGUGGUUUUUAAAUGAUUUUCGUGCGUACCCAAUUUCCGAAAUUACCCGAAUGGCAUUAUUUUACAUCGUAUGGGAUAAACAAACAUGUCAACUAAAAGCAAGUAUUGAUUAAAUACUUUUUUAUGAAUAAGGCCGCUUCUCUUUGAAUAUGUGUAAUUUAAGUCAUUGUAGAGAUAUCGAAUAACUUUGACUGCUGUAAAAUAACAACUCAAUAAAUGCGGGAUUCCACCAGUGUGCGGCACAAGAAUAUUCAGUACAAAAAUGCUUGUGUCGCACAGUGCUGCACACUGGUGGAAUCCCAAUGGCAAUGUCAGGAACAUAGUUUGAAAAUGUCUAUAGAAUUUCUUUACAAUACUUUUAUCUAAAUAAUGAAUCACUUGAUCUAAAUCAUGAGAGUAAUUCCGAUUAGUCCCGAUAUUUUAUAAUCUGAGGUCUAGUCUAGCUACACUGUUUAAAAAAUGUUUCUCUAAAAUCUUAGUGUAAGUGAAUUGUCUAUUAUCGUUCGAUGUUACUUUAUGUUGCACAUAUUUUUUCAUUGUACAACGAUGAUUUUAUAUGGCCCGUUUUAAAAACUGGCAAUUUGAUAUAUGGCAACAUCAACAUCCAGGUUCCAUUUUUAAAGUAAUUAUAUAUUUUUUAAAUAUUAAAAUUGGAAUGUGGUUCUUGAUGUGAGACUGAUUUUAAUUUUAUGAAAUAAGACUACCUACGUCAUUACCUACGUUAAUAAAAAGUUAAUCUUGACAAAUUGGUUAUUAACUGUUAUUCUUAACCGUUUUACGGAUAUGAUGAAAUUUUAGUUAAUAAAGCUUUUUUAUUGA